rnacentral:rRNA from 1 species
GGCAUUGCGGGGUGCUAUACAUGCAGUCGAGCGAAUGGAUUAAGUAAGCUUGCUUCCUUUAUGAAGUUUAGCGGCGGACGGGUGAAGUAACACGUGGGUAACCUGCCCAUAAGACUGGGAUAACUCCGGGAAACCGGGGCUAAUACCGGAUAACAUUUUGAACCGCAUGGUUCGAAAUUGAAAGGCGGCUUCGGCUGUCACUUAUGGAUGGACCCGCGUCGCAUUAGCUAGUUGGUGAGGUAACGGCUCACCAAGGCAACGAUGCGUAGCCGACCUGAGAGGGUGAUCGGCCACACUGGGACUGAGACACGGCCCAGACUCCUACGGGAGGCAGCAGUAGGGAAUCUUCCGCAAUGGACGAAAGUCUGACGGAGCAACGCCGCGUGAGUGAUGAAGGCUUUCGGGUCGUAAAACUCUGUUGUUAGGGAAGAACAAGUGCUAGUUGAAUAAGCUGGCACCUUGACGGUACCUAACCAGAAAGCCACGGCUAACUACGUGCCAGCAGCCGCGGGUAAUACGUAGGUGGCAAGCGUUAUCCGGAAUUAUUGGGCGUAAAGCGCGCGCAGUGGUUUCUUAAGUCUGAUGUGAAAGCCCACGGCUCAACCGUGGAGGGUCAUUGGAAAACUGGGAGACUUGAGUGCAGAAGAGGAAAGUGGAAUUCCAUGUGUAGCGGUGAAAUGCGUAGAGAUAUGGAGAACACCAGUGGCGAAGGCGACUUUCUGGUCUGUACUGACACUGGAGGCCGCGAAGGCGUGGGGGGAGCAAACAGGAUAGAAUACCCUUGUAGUCCACCGCCGUAAACGAUGGACUGCUUAGUGUAGAAGGGCUUCCGCCUUAUGCUGAAGUUACGCAAUAGCACUCCCGCCCUGGGGAGUUACGCCCGCAGCUAGAACUCAAGGAUGACGGGGCCCGCCACAAAGCGGGUGGACAUGGGGCUCGAUCGAGCACGCCGAGAACUUACCCA